rnacentral:rRNA from 1 species
GAACCCACGUACGUUGAAAAGUGCGGGGAUGAGGUGUGGGUAGCGGAGAAAUUCCAAACGAACUUGGAGAUAGCUGGUUCUCUCCGAAAUAGCUUUAGGGCUAGCCUCGGAAUUGAGAAUGAUGGAGGUAGAGCACUGUUUGGACUAGGGGCCCAUCUCGGGUUACCGAAUUCAGAUAAACUCCGAAUGCCAUUCAUUCAUAUCCGGGAGUCAGACUGUGAGUGAUAAGAUCCAUAGUCGAAAGGGAAACAGCCCAGACCACCAGCUAAGGUCCCAAAAUAUAUGUUAAGUGGAAAAGGAUGUGGGGUUGCACAGACAACUAGGAUGUUGGCUUAGAAGCAGCCACCAUUUAAA